ACAUAGGGAGCAAGCGUUAUCCGGAAUGAUUGGGCGUAAAGCGUCUGUAGGUGGUUCGAAAAGUCUACUGUCAAAUACGUUGGCUCAACCAACGGCAGGCAUUAGAGUACUAUUGAACUAGAGUAUGGUAGAGGUAGAGGGAAUCCCUAGCGUAACAGUGAAAUGUGUAGAUUUUAGGGAGAACACCAGCGGCGAAGGCGCUCUACUGGGCCAUUACUGACACUG
rnacentral:rRNA from 1 species